AGCGAACGCUGGCGGCGUGCUUAACACAUGCAAGUCGAACGCGCAGUUUUCUGUAGCAAUACGGGAAAUGGGCGCGUGGCGAACGGGUGCGUAACACGUGGGCAACCUUCCCUUCGGUGGGGGAUACCCUCGCGAAAGCGAGACUAAUACCGCAUAACAUUCCCCUGGUUACGACUGGGGGAUUCAAAGCAGCAAUGCGCCGGAAGAGGGGCCCGCGGCCGAUUAGCUAGUUGGUGAGGUAACGGCUCACCAAGGCUUUGAUCGGUAACCGGUCUGAGAGGACGAUCGGUCACACUGGAACUGAGACACGGUCCAGACUCCUACGGGAGGCAGCAGUGGGGAAUAUUGCGCAAUGGGCGAAAGCCUGACGCAGCGACGCCGCGUGGGGGAUGAAGCUUUUCGGAGUGUAAACCCCUUUCGACCCGGACGAAAGCCCGCAAGGGCCUGACGGUACGGGUAUAAGAAGCCCCGGCUAACUACGUGCCAGCAGCCGCGGUAAAACGUAGGGGGCCAGCGUUGCUCGGAAUUACUGGGCGUAAAGGGUCUGUAGGCGGUGCGGCAAGUCGGAAGUGAAAUCUGAGGGCUCAACCCUUAGACUGCUCCCGAAACUGCCGUGCUAGAGUGCGAGAGAGGCGGGUGGAAUUGCAGGUGUAGCGGUGAAAUGCGUAGAUAUCUGCAGGAACAUCCGAGGCGAAAGCGGCCCGCUGGAUCGCAACUGACGCUGAGAGACGAAAGCUAGGGGA
rnacentral:rRNA from 1 species